AUUGUCAUAUACUGGCAUUUUACUUCAAGCCUUUCUGAAACAAAUGCAAAGAAUGUAAUUGAAUUCAUAUAAGAACUACACACAUUACCUCUGAAUGGUUGAGUCUUGUGUUUUUUUUGUUGCAUAAUAUAUAUAUAUAUUUUUACCAAUAGAUCAAUAAAAACGAAUUGCAUGAUGUGAAUUGAAUGGCCAUAAAUCAACAUAAUCCAUAUAACUGAAUUAAUAUGUUUUUAAUAUUGUGAAUGGUGCUCAUUGACAUUUUUCAUUCAUUCUUUAUAGACCCUUCAAUCCUUUAUUGUCUUUUAGACCCUGCGGUCCAUGUUGGCGACCGUAAAAUGGGACAAAUGAAUCAAUAAGGAGGUCAUCCCACCACAUGUAGCCACAGGCCACAGCAACCCUGUCAUUCAAGUCACUGGUGAGGAGCAGGGUUAUCACUCGCCUCCAUCUACUACCUCAACCAAUGACAAUGCUGUGUUGAGCCAACCCCCUCUGACACGCCCAGCCAACCAGAGCUCAGUCAUUCAUGUACAAGAGUGCAUAUUGUCAACUAACUAAGUAUUGUGUAGAUGACAGAGUGGGACUAGGAAGACACACACACACACACACACACACACACACACACACACACACACACACACACACACACUCACCUAACUCUCAGACUCCCGCGCCAGAAUUAGACACACUUGGCACCAGCAUAUCUAGGCUCCACCCAACCACAACCCAAGCUUGAGUUGUUACUGCAUCUCCAAACCCGACAGUCAGUUCUUUAUCAUCAAUACUAUUAAACCGUGGCCUUCUCUUAAUGAGAUUUAUAGGCGUGGCUUUCACAACGUGAUCUGCCCUCUCAGUCUGCUGUGAUUGAUCACUGUGUGUGGGUCCCCUUCGUCUCCACAGACUGAGAGUGAAUUAGCUAUUGAUCCCGGCAUGGGGUCACUGUGUGUUAUAGGACAGGACUGGAAGUGUGGUUUGUGGGGUGUGAAGACACUCCUACUGCUUAAAGUCAUGGAAUGAUAGUUUCCUCUUAGUGUUAUUGAGGAGAUGAUGAAUUAUAUAACAGGAAAUAUUUGAAGCCACUGUAUGUUGGUUGACUAUGGAUCAGGGAUGGAUGCUCUUCCACUGGCUACUACAGUAUACAGUGGUGGUGAUAUGGAUGUGUGUGUUCAUCCAGAUCCUCAGGGCUUGGUCCUGAGCAGACAGAGAGUACAGAGUGGCAGCAGUCCAGGCCAAGCGGGCAGGAGACAUGGAGCUAGCCAGACGUUACUAUCGGACAGCAAAGAAAUUAGAGGUGAUGGUUGAAGAGGCAUCUGAGAGGAGUGAGUGGUCAUCAGCUCUAUACCACCCCUCCUGACGAACCACUCAAACAACAGACAGAGACAGACACCAGCCUCAGUCACAUGACUUGUCCUGCCAGUAAGAAGGAGCCUCCUGGCAGCAUGAUCAUGAUGUCAAGAACAGAAGACAAGGUACAAGUCCACUCCCAGCCCCUCCCAGUGCCUCCUGGAGCCUCAGACCAGUACAACCAGCUGAUAGAGGUCCUCACACAGCAACAACGGAAGUGUCUGUGCCAGCAGUUCACCCACAUGGGGGAGAUCACUGAGACAACUAGGUCUGUACUGGCCCUUUUCAUUACCUCUUGUGCAUUGAUAAACGAUAUAUAAGUUAUAUAACGGAUAGCAGACAGGUGGACAUGUGCUGCCUUAGGACAGGUCAGACACGCAGAACGACACCGUUGAUGUGAGAAUGUGUAUUGUUUAGACAGGUUGGAGGUGCUGUCAGAGGGGUGUAGGAGACACCUGGAGGUCGUGAAACAGGUACAGAGUAGAGGACACCUGUUACCCCCAUACACAGAGGAACGCA